UAUAAGGGCUUGGCAGGUCUGGUUUUGGUUAGGCCAAAAGUGAAGAGUUCCCCACACAAGCUCUGAUACUGAGGGACCUAACCGGCUGGGAUAUAAGGGCUAGGCAGGUCUGGUCUUGGUUAGGCCAAAAGUGAAGAGUUCCCCACACAAGCUCUGAUACUGAGGGAGCUCAACGCAUUCUACUUGACCUAACCGGCUGGGAUAUAAGGUUUAGGCAGGUCUGGUUUUGGUUAGGCCAAAAGUGAAGAGUUCCCCACACAAGCUCUGAUACUGAGGGAGCCCAACGCAUUCUACUUGACCUAACCGGCUGGGAUAUAAGGUUUAGGCAGGUCUGGUUUUGGUUAGGCCAAAAGUGAAGAGUUCCCCACACAAGCUCUGAUACUGAGGGAGCUCAACGCAUUCUACUUGACCUAACCGGCUGGGAUAUAAGGUUUAGGCAGGUCUGGUUUUGGUUAGGCCAAAAGUGAAGAGUUCCCCACACAAGCUCUGAUACUGAGGGAGCUCAACGCAUUCUACUUGACCUAACCGGCUAGGAUAUAAGGUUUAGGCAGGUCUGGUUUUGGUUAGGCCAAAAGUGAAGAGUUCCCCACACAAGCUCUGAUACUGAGGGAGCUCAACGCAUUCUACUUGACCUAACCGGCUGGGAUAUAAGGUUUAGGCAGGUCUGGUCUUGGUUAGGCCAAAAGUGAAGAGUUCCCCACACAAGCUCUGAUACUGAGGGAGCUCAACGCAUUCUACUUGACCUAACCGGCUGGGAUAUAAGGGCUAGGCAGGUCUGGUUUUGGUUAGGCCAAAAGUGAAGAGUUCCCCACACAAGCUCUGAUACUGAGGGAGCUCAACGCAUUCUACUUGGCCUAACCGGCUGGGAUAUAACGUUUAGACAGGUCUGGUUUUGGUUAGGCCAAAAGUGAAGAGUUCCCCACACAAGCUCUGAUACUGAGGGAGCUCAACGCAUUCUACUUGACCUAACCGGCUGGGAUAUAAGGUUUAGGCAGGUCUGGUUUUGGUUAGGCCAAAAGUGAAGAGUUCCCCACACAAGCUCUGAUACUGAGGGAGCUCAACGCAUUCUACUUGACCUAACCGGCUGGGAUAUAAGGGCUAGGCAGGUCUGGUUUUGGUUAGGCCAAAAGUGAAGAGUUCCCCACACAAGCUCUGAUACUGAGGGAGCUCAACGCAUUCUACUUGACCUAACCGGCUGGGAU